UACUUAGGAACUACUUCAGCAGCUCCUUUGAAGUCUCCAGAUGUUUUACAAUAAGCCUUUGCAGGUGUAAGAGUGGUCAUUUGGGAUUUACCACGGCAUCUCCCACCCACUGCUGCCGGCGUGGCUGUGAGCAUUAAACUCCUGUAGCCACAUCUUCUCCUUGCGGUUCAAGUUUGCGAGUGCUCCAGGUGCCAUAGGUAGGAGGAAAUUCCUGUGCGCAGGACACCAGAUUACGUUUUGCACAGUUACCAUACCCAAAAGAUUCUGGAAAUCCUGGCCAGACUUUUCUCUCCAGUACAAACCAGCAAUGGGUCACAACCAAGUCAGCUCAUUCCUGUAAUGAAAACUGAUCAAGCUAUCUGAUGCUCAAUGGAAAUAAAGACACAAUUUUCACUCAAGGAAGCCUGACCAGCUUUAGGGGAGUAAAAUGCUGGCUAAAGAUUGAAAGGCUAUGAAGAGAAAAUGGAGUUGAGAGACUCACAAAAGCUGAAAGCUCUGUUUAUCCCAGAUUUCCUCCCCAUUUUCCGCAAACAGCUGACAUCUGCAAAAGAUCUCAUUAGAGCUGCCCGACCAGAGAGCAGGGUGCCACCCCAGCUGCGCACGCAGCGCAUUACAUCGACACGCUUCCUUAAGGGUGCAAUUCUAACCCCUGAAACGCUUUUCUAUGUAAACUAUGAUCUUUUGGAAAAUAACGGAGGAUAAAAAUGGAAGCUUGUGAGAAAACAGAGACACUUACAACAUAUGUUCUAAGAGCAUCCCAGUGACCCAAUAUGCUGUUCCGCAUGCUUGCAUUGAAACUGCAAAUGAAAUCCAGCAAACUUCAAAUCUCUACGGAGUCAGAGUAUUUCAAGACAAAAACGGCCAUGUAAUGUUUAUUAAUAAAACUAGCUGGAUUAUUCUGGCCAAGGAUCCUACCAGGUGUCAUCUACACAUGAAACGAACUCCACGGACACUUGCAGUUACAGCAGAGCAGUCUCGGUAACCCUGACGGUCCUUUCCAAUCCUCCGCUCCCAAAAGAACAAGCUGUGCCCUAAAGCACCGGGUAACCAGACGAAAGCGGAGGCGACAGUUGGCACGGACAGAUGGAGGCUGCCCGGUGGCAGGAUCUCACAGCAGGAGGCUCAGCACCCCUCACCAGGCACACCGGGCUCUGCAGCACCAGCCAGAUUGUGCUCUGGGUAGCACAAAGUUUCCUGGACUAAAAUACGGGAGCGGCGUUGUUCAAGUUACCAAGGGGACACCCAGGGAAGGAAAGCCUCCUGCUCUCCUCCGCAGCAGAAAACAGCGUUGUCCCAGCUGAUCCAGGUGUCUGGGAGCUCCUCUGCCCCAGCAGCGAGGAGGGAGCAGGGAGAGAGCUGCUCCAGGGAUCCUGCGUUACAGGCGCACAACGGUGUGAGGGCAUCGGGCAACACAGAAACCGUACAUCUACCUGGUCUUUAAUUUUAUGUAUUAUUUUAGCAGCUCAUAUUCAAAUCUGGACCCCAUGAAAAAACUGACAGUCAGCUCAACGGGCGCGCGUGCCGUUCUGUCGACAUACAGGAGCCUGGCCGGGUACCUGAGCCCUUGGCGCUGCCAGAUACUGAAGAUCCAGCACAAUAAACAGGGUCCUGUCCCCACCUGCACCAGGCGUCUCGCCUCUGCCAUAGGAUAUGAAGAAAAUUAUCUUCUAUGGAUGAUAUUUGUGUAUUCGCAGCAAAAGUCUAUUUUUGUCUCAGUUUCCGUAUAGACAAAAAUUAUCUUUCAAGUAGUUACAAAGCUGGCUGCUUCCAGGCUCCGGGCUUAAGGUUCUGAGCUCUUGUCUGUGCUGGGUUUUUCCCCUCAUUAAAAGAGUUUCUGUGACCUUCAGGGGAUGCUGGAAUGCUGCUGUCUGUCUCUGGGACGUGGCAAGUUUUUCUGGGGGCUGCCUUUUGUCCCGUUAGACUAGCUUCAGUGCAAGACUGCUAGAAGUUUAGGUAUUCCCAAAGAGCAUGAGACGGUUUUUGAGCCAGCCAGCAGCAAAAUCACCUUUGUGUGCCACCCUGCGACUUCUCCUGUCCCAGGAGACCAUCUCAGCUGCAGGGCUGGGGGUGGCAGGUCCUGGGGUCACCUGCCAGGACACGCAGCACACCCGUAUGCCCUCCCGAAGGAGGGACAGACAGAGCUGGCAUUCCUUUUCAUCCUGAGAAGUUUCCUCUGUGCAGAGGAAUCCUCGCUUAGCACUCGGGCCAACGCUCAGCUUAGGCAGUGGGGUUGAGGAUCUGGCCCAUCCAAAUGAGCUUUAUAAAACCAAACGUAUCUCAGCGCUUUACCCACACUCGCCCUUCCCGUAAACAUCACCCCACCUCUCGCUUCAGGCCUUCGUUUGACACCUCUCCUGCACUCCAUCGGCAGCAACGUGGGGGUCCCUCAAUGUCGGAUCUGCGUUUUGUGUAAAGCCUCACGAACAGCAAUAGCACUGUAUAAUUAAUAAAUAGCAGCAACAACAAUAAUGUAAUAAGCAGGCAUCAGCGCUAACAACUCGUACCCUGAGUGGUGCUGAGAGGAUCUGCAGGAUCUCAACAUCAACCCUGUUGAUGCAGACAAUGAAACUACCUUCGGGCUGGGAAAGAUUGAUCAGAAUCAUUCAUCCUGGUUAAUACCUGCAAGCUGGGGGUCGGGACAUCACUGAAAUAUCAGUCACAUCACCUGGGACACUGGCGCCAGAAAAAUACAGAAGUGUAAUGGUGCACAGGAGCCGAGAACUGCAUGAGGCCACUUAGACCCAAACCUCUUCUCUUGAAGUGAUCUUCCACGCAACAGUUUUAAAGGUGUCACACCAACACAGGGAAAGCACUUGGUCGCCCUAAUUUACAGAACAACUAGCACUGAAGUGUUAAUUAGAUUUUAAUCUGGGAAUCAAGAAGGUAAACCUGAAAUAUUAUGAAUGGCGGGAGAACCUUCCAGAAAUUCACUUUGUUUUAAUGCAAUGACUCUUGGUACAGGCGUUAGUAAAGUCACAGCAUCGAGACUGCAGCUCUCUACAGGGAGACACAAACCUUCUAGCUGUACCCGAACACGCUGUUCAACUAACGCAGUAGUACAGCCGCAGUGCAAUAGAUGCGAGUUGUACCCGUAUAGAGCUGCUCAGAUAAUGCGCUUUAUUUCUGCUGAAGAACCUACAAGGUUCCACCUUCACAUGGGAGCUGCCCCCAGCCUCACGCGGUGGGUGCGGGUCCCACAGCUGUGCCAGCUGCUCCGCUGGCUGGGCGCUCCGCACGCUCUCUGUACCACCUGGCAACCAAAGCGCCGCCGUUUGCUAGUUCUGCAACCUGACUAGAUGGGCUGGGGGGGAUGAGAGAGGGCAGGUACCCAUAUAUUCAGGGAGACACAGCUGCCGCAUCAGAAUUACGGGCAGGGGAAAAGAUUUCCACUCGGUUGUAUAAACUCCUGUUACAUUCUCUUCCAAAGGUGUGCAUGCAUAUGUGUACGUUUAUGCACACAACUGUGUGUAUAUACACACACAAAGCUCAACGAAAAUUCCAUGCUCAGUCAUAUACCACCAAAAUCUAGAGGGGAGGGGAAGUUUUUAUCAUUUUCUAAGAUUUUAGCCAUUCUACAGGGCAAAAAUCACGCCUAACAUUGUAUAAAGGUGACAUUAUUGCAAAGCUAAGGACUAUUGGUGACACCCUUAAAAAUACUUGAAGGAGUUUGCUUGAAAUACUUUGAAAUGCACUCUGUUUUUUUGUUUUGUUUAAGUUGGGAUGGACAAUUGACUAUUGUGCAAAGGUAGAUUGCAUCCACAACUCGAUAUUUGUAAAGCAAUUUAAAGGUCACUUUAACAAUUCCAAUAAUAGUGACCAUUAGUGAUUUUGCAAAGAAAACAGACAUUGCAAGAUAAACCAAAGUGCUCUGAAAGUAACUGCUAUUCUUUCUUCCCCGUGUUCCUGAACUACGCUUCUCCUUGUCGUAUCUGAUCACCUUCCAGUAGCGUGGUGGGGGAUGUGACUCGCAUGCAUUGCAUCCGGUAGACGUGUUGCUUUAUUUUCUCCCAAACUGCUAUUAUGCUAUGGGCUCACCCUGCCCACAGCCAACAAAACCACGGCAGCGCAGUGCAAUUUAAUGCUCAUACGCAGGGGGCUAGCAAUACAGGAGACCCCCAAACCCCUCCAGGUAUUUAGCAGGCAUAUAAAAAACACGUCUGAAUGAGUUAGACAGUUUUAGAGAGUAGAGUUUUUUUGGUUUGUGGUGUGGGAUUUUUCCUUCAACCUGAACAACCCCUCACUAUAGUUCUAUGAAAAGACACUGGAAUGAUCUUAUAGCCUGUGCUCUAAUCCUAUAUAAAAUAAACGUAGCAAAGAAUUGCUUAUAGUCAUCCUCUUAAAUACAGUCGGUACUUCUGCCAGUGAUACACAGACUGAAAGUUUCUGCAAGUGUAGUUGCGUAAAUGUAUCUCUAAUUAUUCAGCUUUUAUAUAGCCUCUGGUUUCCAGGAAGAAUUAGAAAUGUGACAUAUGAUCAGGACUGCAAGUAUUUUUUCAAAGUUGGGUUAAUUAACAUUAUCUGAAAACCAGAAAGAACAAAGCUACCAGGUAUGUGGAACAUUAAUCACAUCACUAGUAAUUAGUGCUAGAAUAUAGAAAUAAAAAGACAAAAUGAGGCCAUAAGAAAUAAGUCUAAUCCAGCUACAAUUUACCAGAAAUACUGUAAGAAAUAGGCUUGAAACUACACAAUUACAUUUUUUAAGUAGACAGAAGGAUGGGUAGGGAAUACCUGGCUGUCUGGGCUGGCUCAACAGAGUAAGAAUUCUUGAGAAACAAAAAUGAUAGAUGGCAAAAUGGCAAUAUUUGCCAUUCAGAAACGUUACGAUAACACCAACCUGUGGGUAUCAGAGGGCAGUGUAUAGAGUGGCAAUAUACAGCCAUGAAAUACAUGGUAGGUUUUCAUCUAACUCAUGCAGUCCGUAGGUUAUGGGUAUUAAUAAUAACAAGGCCAAUAGCAGAGCAAAGCACGGAACAGGCCCACGGGGACCCGGGACUGGCAAUCAGUGAAUGGAGGUAAAGCAACCGGCUUUGUGCUCAGAAGCUACAGUCUGAGCAUCCGCAGAACAAGAGGAUCUCCUUCAGACGCAGUUAUUGCCUGUUCCACCAACACGUCUCACUCGCUCAGGUAUUAACUAUGACGGUGCUGCAGAACGUCACUCGUGGCAAAGUCCAACUACAGCACAGCAAGCAGAUGCCACGAGGAGGACCACAAACUGGAUACACAAACCACAUUCACGGCUGCAACUAUCCAAAAUGACACCAAAAAUGAACAAACAACACAGAGAGACAGCAAAGCAAGCAUGAUGAACCAAAGCAUCGUGGUCACAUCUGCUGACUCCUGCUGCAUGCUCCUCCCUUUGUCAAACACCCUGCUGCACCUCGUCUCUUUUGCGCUCUUUGAAGCUGACGGGCCUGUCGCUGACAAGUGGUAGAGGUGAGCAUCCUAAAAAAUCUGGGCUCUGGCAGACCUACAAGGGAAUUAUUUUAUCCUGAAGAAUGAGCUUGUGCAUUCUCAUCCAUUCUGAUUCCUCACACCAUUGCUUGUUUUGAUGCGUGCCCUUUCCUGCGUGGUCUGGCACGUUCUCCGUUUGGGUGCACGUGGCAAGGCAGUAAAGAGGCACCACGAGUACAGAAGCAAGAAGUCACAGCAAUAGGUGAGUCCCUUCUGAAUCUCUCACUCGGGCUUAUGCAUCCUGGCUAUUCCUACGCGACGAUCUCAACUGCAGCAAGUCCAGUUAUACUCAAGCGUGUGAGCUGUGCACAGACCUUUCGAAGCACGAGAGAACCUGUCAGGUUCUCAAACAGUUCACGACGUGAUCUCUGCAAGUGUAUUCCUAUGAAUGAGUGUUAUCUGAAUGCAUA